rnacentral:tRNA from 1 species
CGGGGUGUAGCGCAGCCUGGUAGCGCACCUGAAUGGGGUUCAGGUGGUCGCCGGUUCGAAUCCGGCCACCCCGA